rnacentral:rRNA from 1 species
AAUAGUUUUUUAAAUGGAAACUGGGAUGAAAGAAGUGAUGAGAUUUAUACUGUCUUGAAUUAAAUAAUUAAAUUUAUUAAUUAAGUAAAAAUACUUAGAUAGUAAUAUGGGACGAGAAGACCCUAUAGAAUUUUAUAUAAAUUUGUUAUUAAAUUUAGUAACAUAAUAUUAAUAAGUUUGUAUUUUAUUGGGAGGAUAAUUAAAUUAUGAAAACUUUAAUAAAUAGGUAAAUCAUUAAUGAAUGAGUUAAUAUAAAAAGAAUGAGUAGUAAAUUUAAAUAGAAUUAAUUACCUUAGGGAUAACAGCGUAAUAUUUUUGGAGAGAUCUUAUUAAUAAAAAUGAUUGC